rnacentral:lncRNA from 1 species
UUAGUCAUUUCUGAGAUGAUGUAGUAAUGGAUCACCGCUGGUGACUUGAUAUAUGAGGAAAUAAACUUAUCUGUAUUUGCGAAACCAAUAAAUGCAUCACAUAUAUCUUUUAAAUAGACUAUUUGUUUUACAGUGCCAUGAUUAUAUAAUAUGUAUUCUCACUAUAUAAAUCGGAACGCACAAGUAUUUUCCGAUACUUAAUCUGUGAAUAAACUAGUGCUCUCUUGUUUCCCACUGAAAAAAUUUACUUUCGUUCUUAUACUAUCAUUAAUGAAUGGUGCUUUUGAAGUUUUAUGGUUUAUAAUUGUCAUCAUUUCCCUUUAAUGUCUCUGCUUUUAUCUGAUACAGUGUGCUGCUUAUUUCUUUAGUUAAUCUUCAGCGAUUGGGUUCAGCUCCACAUCUCAGUUUUCUUUCUAAUGGCGGUAUGCUAGUGGGAUUUUUUGUUUUCGUUCUUUUUUCCUGUAAUUUGUAGGUUCCAGAACUUAUAUUUUAGUUUUCCAGAUUGACAGGAUUCUUAAAGAUGAAGCUACGGAAGAAAAGGGAGAGCGAGCUAGAAUGGUAAGUCUCAUGUAUCUGGAAAUAAAUAUAGCUGGUAGUUUACAAAAGACUAUCUUGUAUGUAAUUUUUUUUGAUGAUGA